GUCGAGCGGGCGAGGUUGCUUCGGUAACUGAGCUAGCGGCGGACGGGUGAGUAAUGCUUAGGAAUCUGCCUAUUAGUGGGGGACAACAUUCCGAAAGGAAUGCUAAUACCGCAUACGCCCUACGGGGGAAAGCAGGGGAUCUUCGGACCUUGCGCUAAUAGAUGAGCCUAAGUUAGAUUAGCUAGUUGGUGGGGUAAAGGCCUACCAAGGCGACGAUCUGUAGCGGGUCUGAGAGGAUGAUCCGCCACACUGGGACUGAGACACGGCCCAGACUCCUACGGGAGGCAGCAGUGGGGAAUAUUGGACAAUGGGCGAAAGCCUGAUCCAGCCAUGCCGCGUGUGUGAAGAAGGCCUUUUGGUUGUAAAGCACUUUAAGCGAGGAGGAGGCUACCGAGAUUAAUACUCUUGGAUAGUGGACGUUACUCGCAGAAUAAGCACCGGCUAACUCUGUGCCAGCAGCCGCGGUAAUACAGAGGGUGCGAGCGUUAAUCGGAUUUACUGGGCGUAAAGCGUGCGUAGGCGGCUUCUUAAGUCGGAUGUGAAAUCCCUGAGCUUAACUUAGGAAUUGCAUUCGAUACUGGGAAGCUAGAGUAUGGGAGAGGAUGGUAGAAUUCCAGGUGUAGCGGUGAAAUGCGUAGAGAUCUGGA
rnacentral:rRNA from 1 species